GUUUGAAGAAAACGAGGGUGCAACCUGUGACCGCAGCUUAAUUUUUCCACCGAAAUUUUGGUGAGAUGUUAAUUAUCAUCAAUUAUCAUCUACCUCGGCUAAAGUAGAGAGAGCUAUCAUCCAAGCCUGUAAACCACUCUGAUGAUCCUUCUCCGUUGUUGCUUCCCACUUGUCAGCAGGCUUCUUUGAUGUUCCACGUUUUAUUUAAACAAUUUAGUAAUUUGAAUUUACAAUCAUUGGUUGAAAGGCUGCUUCUGCCAUUUCCUUGAAAGUCCACACUGCCAAUUUGAAUCUUCUAUCCAAUCCCAUGCAUACAACCCAGGCACGUUACUAUAGCUCAAGAAGCAAGAGGUCCCAAUUCUUUCACGUGUUUUGCAAUUUGAAUGGCUUCCUCGGACCUCGGCCCUCUCAACUCUCAAGUCUUCUACACAAGCACAACAUGGUUGCAGAACAAUCUAUCGCACAAUUUGAAGAGAUACGCAUCAGGACCAGCAGCCGAAGACGGAAGCAGUUUGCUUGUCUUCUUUUGUUUCUUUCAAAGCAGCAACCUCUGAUAGAGGGCUUGAUCGAGGUGCUAUGCACGAUUCUAUUUCCAGGCAAACCAGCUCUUAUUCUCCUUUCUAAUUUACCUAGUUUACAAAGCUUGAGACCACAGCACAAUAUGGGACGCCAUCACUAACCAGUCGUGCCUCUUGCAUCUUCAGAAAAUGUUUGGCUUUGGGUGGCAAGUCAGCACCAGUCGAAUCAAUAUCUGGAUGAUUGGACUAGAGCUAAUUUGUUUGGAACUCCUCCUUGAUUCUCCAUGCUGUCAAACAACAGAGAUUCUGCCCCAACCCUUGAGAUUUAAUCACCAUAUUUAACCGGAGGAUACUCAGCUUCUUCCUCUCACGGCAGAUCAGAUUCAAAAACAUUCAACACUCCCCAUAAGCAUCAAGGUAGACAGAAUAGAACUCUGAACUCAUAUCCCUCGGAGAUGAAAUCUCCUGAAGACCUGAACCAUAGCCAUGACUUCUCAAACAUCAAAGGCUGAAAACAGGUCCAACUUUGGAACACUUGCCCAUAUAACAUCAAAUACAUAUGCUUGAAUUUGUUCUUUUGUGUUGCUGAACUUAUAAAAAGCAUCAGCAGCCUUUUCUGCGAGGGCUCGGUAUUGAACAGAAGCAACCACAGUAAGAAAAUCUUUGUCCUUAGUUUUGGUUUCACAAUGAACAUCCAGUUGUUUCACAAGUAAAGAGAGGCGACCGGCUAGCUGACAACCAAAACACCAAGGCAGAAAGUGCCAUCCAGGUUCCAGACAUCGUUAUAUUUUCGAAAGAUUUCCUUGAUGACAACAGUAUACUGAUCGACUUGAACGCAGCCAAGAACUUGUCCCAUAUUCUUUAUAGAAUCUUUUCUGAAACGGAAAGAAAAUUGAAAUGAACAGAGAAGAGCUCUAGACACAGAGAGGUACAGAUGUUUAUCAAUGUACGAACAAGCUAGAAGUGCAUACUAGGAUGUUGUUAACAUUGUUUGUUUCUGAAACUGAAACAGACUGUGUUGUGUGUCCACAAAUGGGGAGACGCAAGUUUUACAGCAAACACCCACGGAAAAGACGCGACUGCCUGCUAAAAAUAAUACUGCCUGCCAUUAUACAGUAACAUUCUCUAAUUGAAGGCAACAGAACCAUAAAUUUGAUGUGACGCUUUUGUUUUUUGUCUUAAAACAAUGGUUUUCAUGUUUGUGAAAAAGAAUUUUUCAUUGUUUGAUGUCACAACUCACCAUUAAUGUUCGGAAUGCAUUUUUCAAUAUUUUUGGUAAGGUUACCACUUGUGGUUCAUUGAUCUCAGUCGAUCAAUUUCAACUGUUGUAAUUAAGGUGAAGACAAUAGAUAUACCUGAAAGGCUUAAACUCUCCCUAAAA